rnacentral:rRNA from 1 species
AUUGAACGCUGGCGGCAGGCCUAACACAUGCAAGUCGAGCGGGAACUUCGGUUCUAGCGGCGGACGGGUGAGUAAUGCGUAGGAAGCUACCCGAUAGAGGGGGAUACCAGUUGGAAACGACUGUUAAUACCGCAUAAUGUCUACGGACCAAAGUGUGGGACCUUCGGGCCACAUGCUAUCGGAUGCGCCUACGUGGGAUUAGCUAGUUGGUGAGGUAAUGGCUCACCAAGGCGACGAUCCCUAGCUGGUUUGAGAGGAUGAUCAGCCACACUGGAACUGAGAGACGGUCCAGACUCCUACGGGAGGCAGCAGUGGGGAAUAUUGGACAAUGGGCGAAAGCCUGAUCCAGCCAUGCCGCGUGUGUGAAGAAGGCCUUCGGGUUGUAAAGCACUUUCAGCGAGGAGGAAGGAGUUGUAGUUAAUAGCUGCAACUUUUGACGUUACUCGCAGAAGAAGCACCGGCUAACUCUGUGCCAGCCGCCGCAGUAAAAC